rnacentral:rRNA from 1 species
UACGAAGGGGGCUAGCGUUGCUCGGAAUCACUGGGCGUAAAGGGCGCGUAGGCGGACUCUUAAGUCGGGGGUGAAAGCCCAGGGCUCAACCCUGGAAUUGCCUUCGAUACUGAGAGUCUUGAGUUCGGAAGAGGUUGGUGGAACUGCGAGUGUAGAGGUGAAAUUCGUAGAUAUUCGCAAGAACACCAGUGGCGAAGGCGGCCAACUGGUCCGAUACUGACGCUGAGGCGCGAAAGCGUGGGGAGCAAACAGGGAUUAGAAACCCC